UACGUAGGUGGCAAGCGUUGUCCGGAUUUAUUGGGUUUAAAGGGUGCGUAGGCGGUCAUGUAAGUCAGCGGUGAAAUCCGGCAGCUCAACUGUCGAUGUGCCAUUGAUACUGCAUGACUUGAGUACUGAUGAGGUAGGCGGAAUUGACGGUGUAGCGGUGAAAUGCUUAGAUAUCGUCAAGAACACCGAUAGCGAAGGCAGCUUACUAAAGCAGUAACUGACGCUGAUGCACGAAAGUGUGGGGAUCAAACAGG
rnacentral:rRNA from 1 species